AGCGAACGCUGGCGGCAGGCCUAACACAUGCAAGUCGAACGAACCCUUCGGGGUUAGUGGCGGACGGGUGAGUAACACGUGGGAACGUGCCUUUAGGUUCGGAAUAACUCAGGGAAACUUGUGCUAAUACCGAAUGUGCCCUAUGGGGGAAAGAUUUAUCGCCAUUGGAGCGGCCCGCGUUGGAUUAGGUAGUUGGUGAGGUAAAGGCUCACCAAGCCUACGAUCCAUAGCUGGUCUGAGAGGAUGAUCAGCCACACUGGGACUGAGACACGGCCCAGACUCCUACGGGAGGCAGCAGUAGGGAAUCUUGCGCAAUGGGCGAAAGCCUGACGCAGCCAUGCCGCGUGAAUGAUGAAGGUCUUAGGAUUGUAAAAUUCUUUCACCGGGGAAGAUAAUGACGGUACCCGGAGAAGAAGCCCCGGCUAACUUCGUGCCAGCCGCCGCGGUAAAAC
rnacentral:rRNA from 1 species